rnacentral:rRNA from 1 species
UUGCCAGAGAUGGCUUGGUGCCUUCGGGAACCGUGAGACAGGUGCUGCAUGGCUGUCGUCAGCUCGUGUUGUGAAAUGUUGGGUUAAGUCCCGCAACGAGCGCAACCCUUAUCCUUUGUUGCCAGCGGUCCGGCCGGGAACUCAAAGGAGACUGCCAGUGAUAAACUGGAGGAAGGUGGGGAUGACGUCAAGUCAUCAUGGCCCUUACGAGUAGGGCUACACACGUGCUACAAUGGCAUAUACAAAGAGAAGCGACC